rnacentral:rRNA from 1 species
ACGAACGCUGGCGGCAUGCCUAACACAUGCAAGUCGAACGAGACCUUCGGGUCUAGUGGCGCACGGGUGCGUAACGCGUGGGAACCUGCCCUUAGGUUCGGAAUAACUCCCCGAAAGGGGUGCUAAUACCGGAUAAUGUCUUCGGACCAAAGAUUUAUCGCCUUUGGAUGGGCCCGCGUUGGAUUAGCUAGUUGGUAGGGUAAAAGCCUACCAAGGCGACGAUCCAUAGCUGGUCUGAGAGGAUGAUCAGCCACACUGGGACUGAGACACAGCCCAGACUCCUACGGGAGGCAGCAGUGGGGAAUAUUGGACAAUGGGCGAAAGCCUGAUCCAGCAAUGCCGCGUGAGUGAUGAAGGCCUUAGGGUUGUAAAGCUCUUUUACCCGGGAUGAUAAUGACAGUACCGGGAGAAUAAGCUCCGGCUAACUCCGUG